UUUCUGCAGGGUGAAUGACUGGCAUGAGACCAGAGAACUAUAUACAACACACAAAACAAAACAAAACAAAACAAAACAAAACAAAACAAAACAAAACAAAACACAAAAAACAAAAGCCCAGUCUGAAUGCAUUUCUAGGUCUUAAGAUAUAAUUUAUUAUCCUCUAACUGUAAGGGUGCUGGUCAAACUAUCACAUCAAGACAAGCCGUUUCUACAUUUGUUCUGCAGUUUGCAAAAAUCCCUGAAAUACCUCUGCAAGCUCAUUCCUGCCUUCUUGCAUCAGGGCUUACAGUGCAUCUGAGAAAGGCCUGGUUCUCUGGGGUCCCUUUGGGCUCACUUGUUGCACACAGGGAGCCACCAACUGGAGGCAGCAGCUUCAGGCUGUUGGAAUGACUGCAGUGGGUCUGUCUUUGAAGUCUUACCCUGCAGUUAUCUCUCCUUGCACCGGGGAGGGCUGAAAGCGAACCCGUUGCAUGCAGCUGUCACCAUUUAAGCCAGCAGGCGUUUGAAGAUGUGCCGCCCCCCACCCCUUGUGAGGGGAGCCAGAAUAGAACAAAGUGUGGCGUUCCCAUGGAACCAUCCUAGCACUUGAUCAGUGUGGGCCAGCACCUUUCCCCCUUGAUGGAACUGGGUACGGGGGAGCAAAGAGGAGAAACGGUGGUUUGUACCUGCUCCUUGCAAAUGUCAGACCCAGAGA
rnacentral:lncRNA from 1 species